CCUACGGGUGGCAGCAGUGGGGAAUAUUGGACAAUGGGCGAAAGCCUGAUCCAGCCAUGCCGCGUGUGUGAAGAAGGCCUUCGGGUUGUAAAGCACUUUCAGUGGGGAAGAAAGCCUUGGGGCUAAUACCCUCGAGGAAGGACAUCACCCACAGAAGAAGCACCGGCUAACUCCGUGCCAGCAGCCGCGGUAAUACGGAGUGUGCGAGCGUUAAUCGGAAUUACUGGGCGUAAAGCGCGCGUAGGCGGUCUGAUAAGCCGGUUGUGAAAGCCCCGGGCUCAACCUGGGAACGGCAUCCGGAACUGUCAGGCUAGAGUGCAGGAGAGGAAGGUAGAAUUCCCGGUGUAGCGGUGAAAUGCGUAGAGAUCGGGAGGAAUACCAGUGGCGAAGGCGGCCUUCUGGACUGACACUGACGCUGAGGUGCGAAAGCGUGGGUAGCAAACAGGAUUAGAUACCCCAGUAGUC
rnacentral:rRNA from 1 species